AACGUAGGAGGCGAGCGUUAUCCGGAUUUACUGGGUGUAAAGCGCGUGCAGGCGGACGAGUAAGUUGGAUGUGAAAGCUCCUGGCUUAACUGGGAGAGGUCGUUCAAAACUGCUGGUCUGGAGCGUGGUAGGGGAAGGCGGAAUUCCGGGUGUAGUGGUGAAAUGCGUAGAUAUCCGGAGGAACACCAGUGGCGAAAGCGGCCUUCUGGACCACGACUGACGCUCAGACGCGAAAGCUAGGGGAGCAAACGGGAUUAGAAACCCCUGUAGUCCCUG
rnacentral:rRNA from 1 species